rnacentral:rRNA from 1 species
AAUUAACGCUGGCGGCAUGCCUAACACAUGCAAGUCGUGCGAGAAACCGCCCUUCGGGGUGGGAGUACAGCGGCGCACGGGUGAGUAACGCGUGGGUAAUCUGCCUCUGCCUGGGGGAUAACACACCGAAAGAUGUGCUAAUACCGCAUAAUCCGGCGAGUUUUCGGACUUGUCGGCAAAGGUGGCCUCUUCAUGAAAGCUGCCGGGUGGAGAUGAGCCCGCGUCCCAUUAGCUAGUUGGUAGGGUAACGGCCUACCAAGGCGACGAUGGGUAGCUGGUCUGAGAGGACGACCAGCCACACUGGAACUGGAACACGGUCCAGACUCCUACGGGAGGCAGCAGUGAGGAAUAUUGCGCAAUGGGGGAAACCCUGACGCAGCGAUGCCGCGUGGGUGAAGAAGGCCUUCGGGUCGUAAAGCCCUGUCAGGUGGGAAGAAUAGCCUCUGGUUGAAUAGGCCGGAGGUGUGACGGUACCACCGAAGGAAGCACCGGCUAACUCCGUGCCAGCAGCCGCGGUAAGACGGAGGGUGCGAGCGUUAUUCGGAAUCAUUGGGCGUAAAGAGCGUGUAGGCGGCCGGUUAAGUCAGGUGUGAAAGCCCGGGGCUCAACUGGGAGAGGGCGUUGAUACUGCGUGGCUAGAGGACGGUAGAGGGGGGUGGAAUUCCCGGUGUAGUGGUGAAAUGCGUAGAUAUCGGGAGGAACACCUGUGGCGAAGGCGGCCCCCUGGGCCGUACCUGACGCUGAGACGCGAAAGCUAGGGGAGCGAACGGGAUUAGAUACCCCGGUAGUCCUAGCUGUAAACGAUGUGGACUUGGCGCUGAAAGGGUAAAAUCUUGCAGUGCCGAAGCUAACGCAAUAAGUCCACCGCCUGGGGACUACGGCCGCAAGGCUAAAACUCAAAAGAAUUGGCGGGGGCCCGCACAAGCAGCGGAGCGUGUGGUUUAAUUCGAUGCUACGCGAAGAACCUUACCAGGGUUUGACAUGCAAGUUGUAGGGAUCUGAAAAGUGACCGACUCUUCGGAGAGCUUGCACAGGUGCUGCAUGGCUGUCGUCAGCUCGUGUCGUGAGAUGUCCUGUUAAGUCAGGUAACGAGCGCAACCCUUGCCGUAUGUUAUACGUGUCAUACGGGACUGCCGGUUUAGUGCCGGAGGAAGGCGGGGAUGACGUCAAGUCAGCAUGGCCUUUAUAUCCUGGGCUACACACACGCUACAAUGGCCGGUACAAUAGGUUGCAAGACCGCAAGGUGGAGCCAAUCCAUAAAGCCGGUCUCAGUUCGGAUUGUAGUCUGCAACUCGCCUCCAUGAAGUUGGAGUUGCUAGUAAUCGCGCGUCAGCAUAGCCGCGGUGAAUACGUUCCCGGGCCUUGUACACACCGCCCGUCACACCAGAAAGCCGGUGGUACCAGAAGUCGCUGGCCCAACCCUUCGGGGAGGGAGGCGCCUAAGGUAUGGUCGGUAAUUGGGGUGAAGUCGUAACAAGGUAGCCGUAGGGGAACCUGCGGCUGGAUCACCUCCUUU